rnacentral:rRNA from 1 species
AGGACGAACGCUGGCGGCGUGCUUAACACAUGCAAGUCGAGCGGAAAGGCCCUUCGGGGUACUCGAGCGGCGAACGGGUGAGUAACACGUGAGCAAUCUGCCCCUAGCUCUGGGAUAGCUCCGGGAAAACCGGGAUUAAUACCAGAUACAACCACUUUAGACAUCUUUUGUGGUGGAAAGGAUUCCGGCUAGGGAUGAGCUCGCGGCCUAUCAGCUUGUUGGUUGGGGUAACGGCCCACCAAGGCGACGACGGGUAGCCGGCCUGAGAGGGCGACCGGCCACACUGGGACUGAGACACGGCCCAGACUCCUACGGGAGGCAGCAGUGGGGAAUAUUGCGCAAUGGGCGAAAGCCUGACGCAGCGACGCCGCGUGGGGGAUGAAGGCCUUCGGGUUGUAAACCCCUUUCAGCAGGGACGAAGCGAAAGUGACGGUACCUGCAAAAGAAGCGCCGGCUAACUACGCGCCAGCAGCCGC